GGGUGCACCGCCGACCGACCUU
rnacentral:snRNA from 1 species